rnacentral:rRNA from 1 species
GAUGAACGCUGGCGGCGUGCCUAAUACAUGCAAGUCGAGCGAACAGACGAGGAGCUUGCUCCUCUGACGUUAGCGGCGGACGGGUGAGUAACACGUGGAUAACCUACCUAUAAGACUGGGAUAACUUCGGGAAACCGGAGCUAAUACCGGAUAAUAUAUUGAACCGCAUGGUUCAAUAGUGAAAGACGGUUUUGCUGUCACUUAUAGAUGGAUCCGCGCCGCAUUAGCUAGUUGGUAAGGUAACGGCUUACCAAGGCAACGAUGCGUAGCCGACCUGAGAGGGUGAUCGGCCACCCUGGAACUGAGACACGGUCCAGACUCCUACGGGAGGCAGCAGUAGGGAAUCUUCCGCAAUGGGCGAAAGCCUGAAGGAGCAACGCCGCGUGAGUGAUGAAGGUCUUCGGAUCGUAAAACUCUGUUAUUAGGGAAGAACAAAUGUGUAAGUAACUAUGCACGUCUUGACGGUACCUAAUAAGAAAGCCACGGCUAACUACGU